CACACAUCUCACUCCACACAUCACCUCACUCCACGCAUCUCACUCCACACAUCUCACUCCACACAUCUCACUCCACACAUCACCUCACUCCACGCAUCUCACUCCACACAUCAUACUCCACACAUCUCACUCCACACAUCACCUCACUCCACGCAUCUCACUCCACACAUCUCCUCACUCCACGCAUCUCACUCCACACAUCUCACUCCACACAUCUCACUCCACACAUCUCCUCAUUCCACACAUCUCCUCACUCCACACAUCUCCUCACUCCACACAUCUCACUCCAGACAUCUCCUCACUCCACACAUCUCACUCCACGCAUCUCCUCACUCCAUGCGUCUCCUCACUCCACGCAUCUCCUCACACCACGCAUCUCACUCCACACAUCUCCUCACUCCACGCAUCUCACUCCACACAUCUCCUCACUCCACACAUCUCACUCCACGCAUCUCCUCACUCCACACGUCUCCUCACUCCACACAUCUCCUCACUCCACACAUCUCACUCCACACAUC
rnacentral:lncRNA from 1 species